rnacentral:rRNA from 1 species
UACGAAGGGGGCUAGCGUUGUUCGGAAUCACUGGGCGUAAAGCGCACGUAGGCGGAUUUUUAAGUCAGGGGUGAAAGCCCAGAGCUCAACUCUGGAAUUGCCUUUGAGACUGAGUGGCUUGAGUACGGGAGAGGUGAGUGGAAUUCCCAGUGUAGAGGUGAAAAUUUCGUAGAUAUUGGGAAGAACACCGGUGGCGAAGGCGGCUGCACUGGCCCGUAACUGACGCUCAUGCACGACAGCGUGGGGAUCAAACAGG